UCUGCCCCGGGGCCGGCCAUGGAGAGGGCGGCCCCUCCCCCCGGCCCCUCCCCGGGCUCGGGCGGGCGCUGAGGGAGGCGCUGCAGAGAGCGGGGCAGGCGCCGGGAGAGGACGAGGGGCUGCGGGAGCUGCUGAGGCGGCGCAGGGACAGGGGAUCCCCCCUCAGUUUGGAGGGGUGCCCAAGGUGCUCCCUCCCCAGAAACUCUCCAGGGAAGUGGCUCCUGUUCCACCGGCCCGUGACCCCCCUGAUCCAGGACAGGCCCCACAGGUCAUGCAGACUAUCCAAGAGCAGCCCUGCCUUCAGCAGGCAGAUCCAUCCUGGAUGCCCGGCUGGACAGAGCGCUGUCAGCCGGGCAAAGAGUUCCUGAGACAGGAAACAAUGAACAAUCCUUGGAGCCUCUGAAACCGUCUGCUGCAAUCUCUCAUCGGCGGCUUUGGGAAAACCAGGAUUUGAACCACUGCAUGUCCUCCUGAGGUGAUCUCAGGGCUAAGGAGAAACUAGGGGCUGUGACAUUUGUGCACCCCAAAUUCUCCUUUUCAUACCCCAAACCUUUUGUGCAUCACAAAUUCCUUUCCCUGCCCUAAAAUCUCCUUUUCCCACACCAAAUCCUCCUUUUCCCACCCAAAAUCCUUACCUGUCCACCCAAAAUCCCAUUUUCCCACCCCAAUCCCUUUUCCCACCCAAAAUCUCCUUUUUCAAUUCCAAAUCCCCUUUUCCCACUGAAAUCCUGAAAUCAAAUCCUCAAUCCCCACCCGAAACCCUCUUUUCCUCCCCCAAAUCUCCUUUUCCAUCCUAAAAUCUCAUUUUUCCAUCCCAAAUCCUUCCCCUUUUACUCCAAAAUCUCUUUUUCGCACCCCAAAUCCACUUUUUAGGGUUCCUCAGGAGGUUUUGGGGUUUUUCCCAGCAUUGUACCCAGGGUCUCUGCAGACAUUGCACCUGGCGCUGCCCCCAUCCCAAAUAAAUCCUAGAUCAACAGCAAUUAAAUCCCAAACCAACCCCAAAUCCCCUUUUUAGGGUUCCCCAGGGGUUUUUGGGGUUCCCCAGGGGUUUUUUUGAAUUUUCCCACCCACAGCAUUGUACCCAGGGUCUCUCUGCAGACAUUGCACCUGGACCUGCCCCCACCCAAAAUAAAUCCCAAACCAACCCCAAAUAAACCCCAAAUCAAUCCCAAACCAACAUGAAAUAAAUCCCAAAUGACCCCU